GGUUAAGUUAAUAAGGGCGCACGGUGGAUGCCUUGGCACUAGAAGCCGAUGAAGGACGUGACUAACGAC
rnacentral:rRNA from 1 species